UAACCGAAUAGGGGAGCCGAAGGGAAACCGAGUCUUAACUGGGCGUUAAGUUGCAGGGUAUAGACCCGAAACCCGGUGAUCUAGCCAUGGGCAGGUUGAAGGUUGGGUAACACUAACUGGAGGACCGAACCGACUAAUGUUGAAAAAUUAGCGGAUGACUUGUGGCUGGGGGGGAAAGGCCAAUCAAACCGGGAGAUAGCUGGUUCUCCCCGAAAGCUAUUUAGGUAGCGCCUCGUGAAUUCAUCUCCGGGGGUAGAGCACUGUUUCGGCAAGGGGGUCAUCCCGACUUACCAACCCGAUGCAAACUGCGAAUACCGGAGAAUGUUAUCACGGGAGACACACGGCGGGUGCUAACGUCCGUCGUGAAGAGGGAAACAACCCAGACCGCCAGCUAAGGUCCCAAAGUCAUGGUUAAGUGGGAAACGAUGUGGGAAGGCCCAGACAGCCAGGAUGUUGGCUUAGAAGCAGCCAUCAUUUAAAGAAAGCGUAAUAGCUCACUGGUCGAGUCGGCCUGCGCGGAAGAUGUAACGGGGCUAAACCAUGCACCGAAGCUGCGGCAGCGACGCUGAUGCGUUGUUGGGUAGGGGAGCGUUCUGUAAGCCUGUGAAGGUGUACUGUGAGGUAUGCUGGAGGUAUCAGAAGUGCGAAUGCUGACAUAAGUAACGAUAAAGCGGGUGAAAAGCCCGCUCGCCGGAAGACCAAGGGUUCCUGUCCAACGUUAAUCGGGGCAGGGUGAGUCGACCCCUAAGGCGAGGCCGAAAGGCGUAGUCGAUGGGAAACAGGUUAAUAUUCCUGUACUUGGUGUUACUGCGAAGGGGGGACGGAGAAGGCUAUGUUGGCCGGGCGACGGUUGUCCCGGUUUAAGCGUGUAGGCUGGUUUUCCAGGCAAAUCCGGAAAAUCAAGGCUGAGGCGUGAUGACGAGGCACUACGGUGCUGAAGCAACAAAUGCCCUGCUUCCAGGAAAAGCCUCUAAGCAUCAGGUAA
rnacentral:rRNA from 1 species